rnacentral:rRNA from 1 species
AGGGAAGCUUGCUUCUACGAGCGGCGGACGGGUGAGUAAUGUAUGGGGAUUUGCCCGAUAGAGGGGGAUAACUGCUGGAAACGGUAGCUAAUACCGCAUAAUCUCUCAGGAGCAAAGCAGUUCGUUGCGCUAUCGGAUGAACCCAUAUGUGAUUAGCUAGUUGGUGAGGUAAUGGCUCACCAAGGCGACGAUCCCUAGCU